rnacentral:rRNA from 1 species
UACGUAGGCAGCGAGCGUUGUUCGGAGUUACUGGGCGUAAAGGGCUCGUAGGCGGUUCGUCACGUCGGGAGUGAAACUCAGGGCUUAACCCUGAGCUUGCAGUGGGUACGGGCAGACUAGAGUGCGGUAGGGGAGACUGGAAUUCCUGGUGUAGCGGUGAAAUGCGCAGAUAUCAGGAGGAACACCGGUGGCGAAGGCGGGUCUCUGGGCCGUAACUGACGCUCAGGCGCGACAGCGUGGGGAUCAAACAGG